CAGGACAACAUUGAGGUUUUUUUCUUUUAAGAUUUAGAGAUUAAAGUUGUAAAUUUAGGAGAAUAAAGUCAUAAAGUAAAUAAAGUCAUAAAGCUGCUUUUGUGGAGGGGGAAAUGACUGAAGCUGGUCAUCUGCAGGGUUAUCUGUGGAUGUAUCAGUGGGUCAUUCAGAGAGAUUUUGUGGUUUCUGAAGAAACAAUCAAACUGAUGAUGAUCAACAUUUGUGAUCCAGAGGGAG